AAAAAAGGAAAGAAGAAAGAAGAAAGACUUAUUAAAAGACAUUAAUUGGGGAAUUUGCACAUCUUCUUCUUCUCUACCUAAAACGCGCUUUAGCUUAUCCUAUUUAUUUAUUUAUAUACAUGUAAAUGUAAAUAACCUAUCAUUGCUUCUCAAAGAAAAAAAUAAUACCAAUAGCAACAACUUCUUUAUCCUAAGUUCAUAACUAACCAUGAGUCUCAGUAUCAAUCACCAACAAGCUCCUGUGACUGCAUAUCCAGCAGUAAGUAAUGAGGGGAAGCAUGCACCACCACCACCAGUGGGUUAUCCAACCAAGGAUGGCCCUGCAACCCAACAACAAACUCUUCCUGUGGUAACCACUGCCAGGGGUGACGGCUUCUGGAAGGGAUGUUGUGCUGGAUUAUGUUGCUGCUGUGCCCUGGACUGUUGCCUCUGAUGAUUGAAAUUUCACUGCACUAUUGCAGAUAUAGAAGAUUUAUGUUUCUGUUUUCUUUUUUAUGUGAUUUUCGGCUCUUUGCCAAACGAUUCUUGUGCCUUGUCUAACAGGGAUCUAUUAUAUAUAUAAAUGGGUAGCACCUGUAAUUUGUUGAUCAUUUGCUUUAUGCUUCUAAAGAAAUAUCAUUAACAGCAUAACAACACAUGAAAAAAGAAAGAAAAUGAAUACAAUAAUAACGACAAUGGUCUUCUCAAUUAUAGCAAUUAAACUAGCUAGUAAGGAUAAAUGGAAAGAAAAAAAACUGCGCGAGUCAAUCAUAUAUAAGAUCCGUCUAUAAUAAGUUCAAGUUUUUUGAGCUUUUCAACGUACACAAAAUAUAAUUUAUAAAUAUACCUCACAUGGGUUAAUAAUAAUAAUUAUUCUUUUAUAUUUACCCUAAUCUUUUUUAAAUUCAUAAAGUAGAAUUUUAAUUUCUUUUUUUGUAAAGUGUAAGUUCAUGCAUCUUUCAAUUCAUUUAGAACUAUCACCACCUACUCCACUCUUUUUUUGUUUUUUGCUCUCGCCGUGGCCAUCCAGCCAGCACUCGUUGUCGGUCUCAUCUCAUCUCUCAGUGUCGUUCCUAGGCUCACUCUCCCUGUCUUCUCUUUUCUCUUCUCUCUUCUCUCUUCUCUCUUCUCUCUUCGAGUCGUCGUCAGCACUGUGGUGCUCUGUCUUCUUUUUUAUGCUCCACUUCCAAAAUUCUAAUGGAACCUCGGUCUUAGGCUUUUAUUGUUUAC